rnacentral:rRNA from 1 species
AGAGUUUGAUCAUGGCUCAGAUUGAACGCUGGCGGCAGGCCUAACACAUGCAAGUCGAGCGGUAACACAGAGAGCUUGCUCUCGGGUGACGAGCGGCGGACGGGUGAGUAAUGUCUGGGAAACUGCCUGAUGGAGGGGGAUAACUACUGGAAACGGUAGCUAAUACCGCAUAACGUCGCAAGACCAAAGUGGGGGACCUUCGGGCCUCAUGCCAUCAGAUGUGCCCAGAUGGGAUUAGCUAGUAGGUGGGGUAACGGCUCACCUAGGCGACGAUCCCUAGCUGGUCUGAGAGGAUGACCAGCCACACUGGAACUGAGACACGGUCCAGACUCCUACGGGAGGCAGCAGUGGGGAAUAUUGCACAAUGGGCGCAAGCCUGAUGCAGCCAUGCCGCGUGUGUGAAGAAGGCCUUCGGGUUGUAAAGCACUUUCAGCGGGGAGGAAGGCGAUAAGGUUAAUAACCUUGUCGAUUGACGUUACCCGCAGAAGAAGCACCGGCUAACUCCGUGCCAGCAGCCGCGGUAAUACGGAGGGUGCAAGCGUUAAUCGGAAUUACUGGGCGUAAAGCGCACGCAGGCGGUCUGUCAAGUCGGAUGUGAAAUCCCCGGGCUCAACCUGGGAACUGCAUUCGAAACUGGCAGGCUAGAGUCUUGUAGAGGGGGGUAGAAUUCCAGGUGUAGCGGUGAAAUGCGUAGAGAUCUGGAGGAAUACCGGUGGCGAAGGCGGCCCCCUGGACAAAGACUGACGCUCAGGUGCGAAAGCGUGGGGAGCAAACAGGAUUAGAUACCCUGGUAGUCCACGCCGUAAACGAUGUCGAUUUGGAGGUUGUGCCCUUGAGGCGUGGCUUCCGGAGCUAACGCGUUAAAUCGACCGCCUGGGGAGUACGGCCGCAAGGUUAAAACUCAAAUGAAUUGACGGGGGCCCGCACAAGCGGUGGAGCAUGUGGUUUAAUUCGAUGCAACGCGAAGAACCUUACCUGGUCUUGACAUCCACAGAACUUAGCAGAGAUGCUUUGGUGCCUUCGGGAACUGUGAGACAGGUGCUGCAUGGCUGUCGUCAGCUCGUGUUGUGAAAUGUUGGGUUAAGUCCCGCAACGAGCGCAACCCUUAUCCUUUGUUGCCAGCGGUUAGGCCGGGAACUCAAAGGAGACUGCCAGUGAUAAACUGGAGGAAGGUGGGGAUGACGUCAAGUCAUCAUGGCCCUUACGACCAGGGCUACACACGUGCUACAAUGGCAUAUACAAAGAGAAGCGACCUCGCGAGAGCAAGCGGACCUCAUAAAGUAUGUCGUAGUCCGGAUUGGAGUCUGCAACUCGACUCCAUGAAGUCGGAAUCGCUAGUAAUCGUAGAUCAGAAUGCUACGGUGAAUACGUUCCCGGGCCUUGUACACACCGCCCGUCACACCAUGGGAGUGGGUUGCAAAAGAAGUAGGUAGCUUAACCUUCGGGAGGGCGCUUACCACUUUGUGAUUCAUGACUGGGGUGAAGUCGUAACAAGGUAACCGUAGGGGAACCUGCGGUUGGAUCACCU